GGGGAAUAUUGCGCAAUGGGGGCAACCCUGACGCAGCCAUGCCGCGUGAAUGAAGAAGGCCUUCGGGUUGUAAAGUUCUUUCGGCAGCGAGGAAGGCAUUUAGUUUAAUAGACUAGGUGAUUGACGUUAACUACAGAAGAAGCACCGGCUAACUCCGUGCCAGCAGCCGCGGUAAUACGGAGGGUGCGAGCGUUAAUCGGAAUAACUGGGCGUAAAGGGCACGCAGGCGGUGACUUAAGUGAGGUGUGAAAGCCCCGGGCUUAACCUGGGAAUUGCAUUUCAUACUGGGUCGCUAGAGUACUUUAGGGAGGGGUAGAAUUCCACGUGUAGCGGUGAAAUGCGUAGAGAUGUGGAGGAAUACCGAAGGCGAAGGCAGCCCCUUGGGAAUGUACUGACGCUCAUGUGCGAAAGCGUGGGGAGCAAACAGGAUUAGAUACCCUGGUAGUCCACGCUGUAAACGAUGUCGAUUUGGGGGUUGAACUUUAAGUUUGGCGCCCGUAGCUAACGUGAUAAAUCGACCGCCUGGGGAGUACGGCCGCAAGGUUA
rnacentral:rRNA from 1 species